rnacentral:rRNA from 1 species
GUCAGGAUGGACGCUAGCUACAGGCUUAACACAUGCAAGUCGAGGGGCAGCAUUGGGAUAGCUUGCUAUUCAGAUGGCGACCGGCGCACGGGUGAGUAACGCGUAUCCAACCUUCCUGCCAGUAGGGAACAGCCCGGCGAAAGUCGGAUUAAUGCCCUAUGUUCUUCAAUGCGGACAUCUAAGUUGAAGGAAAGAUUCAUCGCUGGCAGAUGGGGAUGCGUCCGAUUAGCUUGCCGGCGGGGUAACGGCCCACCGGGGCGACGAUCGGUAGGGGUUCUGAGAGGAAGGUCCCCCACACUGGUACUGAGACACGGACCAGACUCCUACGGGAGGCAGCAGUGAGGAAUAUUGGUCAAUGGGCGUAAGCCUGAACCAGCCAAGUAGCGUGCCAGGACGACGGCCCUACGGGUUGUAAACUGCUUUUAUGCGGGGAUAAAGUGCGGCACGUGUGCCGCUUUGCAGGUACCGCAUGAAUAAGGACCGGCUAAUUCCGUGCCAGCAGCCGC